GUGCAGCAGGCGCGAAACCCUUACAAUGUCUUCACGGACGAUAGGGGAAUCCUGAGUGCUCUAGCAUUGCUAGAGCUUUUGCUUACUGAAAAAAGGUAGGCGAAUAAGUGGUGGGUAAGACGGGUGCCAGCCGCCGCGGUAAUACCCGCACCACAAGUGGUGACCACGUUUAUUGGGUCUAAAGCGUUCGUAGCCGGCCUGAUAAAUUCUCGGUGAAAUCCUGUGUAAAUCAUAGGGCGUGCCGGGAAGACUGUCAGGCUAGGAGCCGGGAGAGGCUGAGGGU
rnacentral:rRNA from 1 species